CCUCCUGGCCGCCGGCCCCGCAGACCUCCCCGCGCGGGGCUCGGGCCCCGGGCGCCGCCCGUUGUUGGCUUAGAGCCAAAGUCGCGUUUCCCGCUGCCCCUUCUCCCGGCUGCUCUCUUCCUUGCUGGCCGCCCGCGGUGUCUCUAUUCUUCCUGGGCCCUGCCUGGCACAAGAGGUAUUGCUUAAGAAGGAGGCUCAUUUAAUGGAUGUUCAGUUACAUCCAGUGUUUGCCUGAGAAUAUUCCAGAGGGCAGAUGCCUGAAUCAUCAUGCAGCCAAUGCAGGCCAGAAGGACGGAUAAUAGUGAAAUGGCACUGGACUGGGCCUCUGGGUCAAGUUCCCUUCUCGGUUAUGCCAACAAGGCUAUUAUACUCUGUACUCUCAAUGAGAGCAGUACUCUCUGGGCCUGAUUUUGCCCCCAGAAAAAUGAGGAGAAAACCUUCUUGACAGUUGCAAGUGCUCGGCGGGAGUGUCGGGAGCGCGGCGGUGCAGGCGCAGCGAUUAGGCCGGGCGCCUCGCCGGCUGACAGUCUGUCACUCCCGGGGGUUAAUCCGGACCCCGGGGCUCCUCAGGGAGAAGCCGCCCGGACAGACGGACAGACGGACAGAUGCAGGCAGAAAGAAGCCUCACCCUCGCUCGCUCGCUCCUCAGCCGGCUGCAAAGAAGGGGUCCUGCCACGGAGGGGAGGGAGCCCCUUUCCCUUGGGGGGGCUGAGAUAAUCCAGAAAAUCUGCUCACGUUCCAGUAGAGAAAAGUGCCGUGCCGCCCUGGGCCCCUCGGGUUUCAGCACUCCAGACGUCCUCCACAAUCCUGUUACACACUGGGAAGAAGGUAAUCGGAGCUCACAGUUUUGUUGCACCCGAGACUACAGGCUCUGGGCAUACCGUGCUUUCAGUGCUGGACCUUUGCACCUGCUCCAGGGAAGGUAUCACUGUCUCCAUCUCCCCUGCAUGUAGGUGGAAGAGCCCAAAUUUGAAGGCGGCGCUGGCUGGCUUCAGAGGGCUUUCUCUUCCAUUAAAAUCCACGUUUAGCAAAGUACAGAGUAAUUGUCACGCGCUGCAUUUAAAAUCCCCUUCCUGGAAUAUGAAUAAUAGUGAAGGGGAAUAUAAGGGAAGGGAGAAGAAAUGUGUGGGAGAUAUCAGAAAGGGAGACAGAACAUAAAGACUUCUAAC